AACGAACGCUGGCAGAAUGCUUAACACAUGCAAGUCGAACGUGAAAGUACUUCGGUAUGAGUAAAGUGGCGCACGGAUGAGUAACACGUAGGUGACCUGCCGUUUAGAGGGGGAUAACCAGAAGAAAUUUUGGCUAAUACCGCAUACGAAGAACGAACUUAAAUAUAGUUCUUGAAAGGAUGCCUCUGCAUAUGCAUCUACUAAACGAUGGGCCUGCGGUACAUUAGCUAGUUGGUGGGGUAAUGGCCUACCAAGGCGACGAUGUAUAACGGAUCUGAGAGGAUGAUCCGUCACACUGGAACUGAGACACGGUCCAGACUCCUACGGGAGGCAGCAGUGGGGAAUAUUGGACAAUGGGCGAAAGCCUGAUCCAGCAAUUCUGCGUGAGUGAGGAAGGACUUCGGUCUGUAAAGCUCUGUUAAUGUGGAAAAAUGGUUAGCGGUCUAAUAGGCCGUUGAUUUGAUGGUACACAUAGAGGAAGCACUGGCUAACUUCGUGCCAGCAGCCGCAGUAA
rnacentral:rRNA from 1 species